rnacentral:rRNA from 1 species
UACGUAGGGGGCUAGCGUUGUCCGGAAUCAUUGGGCGUAAAGAGCGUGUAGGCGGCCCGGCAAGUCCGCUGUAAAAGUCAAAGGCUCAACCUUUGAAUGUCAGUGGAUACUGUCGGGCUAGAGUCCGGAAGAGGCGAGUGGAACUCCUGGUGUAGCGGUGGAAUGCGCAGAUAUCAGGAAGAACACCAACGGCGAAGGCAGCUCGCUGGGACGGUACUGACGCUGAGACGCGAAAGCGUGGGGAGCGAACAGG